rnacentral:rRNA from 1 species
GGUUAAGUUAAUAAGGGCGCACGGUGGAUGCCUUGGCACUAGGAGCCGAAGAAGGACGUGACAAACGACGAUAUGCCUUGGGUAGCUGUAAGUAAGCGAUGAUCCAGGGAUUUCCGAAUGGGGGAACCCAACAGGUACUACCUGUUACCCGCAUCUGUUAAGGAUGUGAGGAGGAAGACGCAGUGAACUGAAACAUCUAAGUAGCUGCAGGAAGAGAAAGCAAAAGCGAUUGCCUUAGUAGCGGCGAGCGAAACGGCAGGAGGGCAAACCGAAGAGUUUACUCUUCGGGGUUGUAGGACUGCAAUGUGGACUCAAAGAUUAUAGAAGAAUGAUUUGGGAAGAUCAGCCAAAGAGAGUAAUAGCCUCGUAUUUAAAAUAGUCUUUGUACCUAGCAGUAUCCUGAGUACGGCGGGACA